rnacentral:rRNA from 1 species
AACGAACGCUGGCGGCAGGCCUAACACAUGCAAGUCGAACGCACCGCAAGGUGAGUGGCGCACGGGUGAGUAACACGUGGGAAUGUACCCUUUGGUUCGGAAUAACGUUUGGAAACGAACGCUAAUACCGGAUGAGCCCUGUGGGGGAAAGAUUUAUCGCCAAAGGAGCAGCCCGCGUCUGAUUAGCUAGUUGGUGGGGUAAAGGCCUACCAAGGCGACGAUCGGUAGCUGGUCUGAGAGGAUGAUCAGCCACACUGGGACUGAGACACGGCCCAGACUCCUACGGGAGGCAGCAGUGGGGAAUAUUGGACAAUGGGCGCAAGCCUGAUCCAGCCAUGCCGCGUGAGUGAUGAAGGCCUUCGGGUUGUAAAGCUCUUUCGCACACGACGAUGAUGACGGUAGUGUGAGAAGAAGCCCCGGCUAACUUCGUGCCAGCCGCCGCAGUAAGAC